AUUGAACGCUGGCGGCAGGCCUAACACAUGCAAGUCGAGCGAGCGGCGGACGGGUGAGUAAUGUCUGGGAAACUGCCUGAUGGAGGGGGAUAACUACUGGAAACGGUAGCUAAUACCGCAUACCAUCAGAUGUGCCCAGAUGUGAGUUGCUAGUAGGUGGGGUAACGGCUCACCUAGGCGACGAUCCCUAGCUGGUCUGAGAGGAUGACCGGCAACCUUGAAACAGAAGCAGGGGCAAGCCUCCAACGGGGGGCAGCGGUGAGAAAGAUUGAAAAAUGGGCGCAAGCCUGGUGAAACCAUGCGGGGGGAGGGAAGAGGGCAUUCGGGUUGUAAAGCACUUUCAGCGGGGAGGCGUUACCCGCAGGAGAGGCACCGACUAACUCCGGGCCAGCAGCCGCGAAAAAAC
rnacentral:rRNA from 1 species